GUCAUGCCUCCUAACAUCGGUAACACAGUUGCAUCAUCAUCUGGUGCAAUGGCUGCUUAUGCAUCAGCAGCUCCAACAAUGAGCUUCAGCUACCCAAAUAUGCCGACCAAUGAAACUCAGCACCUGGCUAUAUUGCAGAAUAAUGGGUAUCCAUUUCCAGUCCCGGCGCAUGUUGGCGCACCACCUGCUUAUAGAGGAGUUACUGGGCAGCCUAUGCCAUUCUUUA
rnacentral:lncRNA from 1 species